GUCAGCAGCCAUAUCACCUUGCAGCCCUCAACUGGUAACUCACUGAAGCUAAGCAGGGUUGAGCCUGGUCAGUACCUGGAUGGGAGUCCUCCUGGUAAGCUAUGGUUGCUGCUGGAA
rfam:Lepisosteus oculatus linkage group LG5, whole genome shotgun sequence.